rnacentral:rRNA from 1 species
GAUGAACGCUGGCGGCGUGCCUAAUACAUGCAAGUCGAGCGAACAGACGAGGAGCUUGCUCCUUUGACGUUAGCGGCGGACGGGUGAGUAACACGUAGGUAACCUACCUAUAAGACUGGGAUAACUUCGGGAAACCGGAGCUAAUACCGGAUAAUAUUUCGAACCGCAUGGUUCGAUAGUGAAAGAUGCUUUGCUAUCACUUAUAGAUGGACCUGCGCCGUAUUAGCUAGUUGGUAAGGUAACGGCUUACCAAGGCAACGAUACGUAGCCGACCUGAGAGGGUGAUCGGCCACACUGGAACUGAGACACGGUCCAGACUCCUACGGGAGGCAGCAGUAGGGAAUCUUCCGCAAUGGGCGAAAGCCUGACGGAGCAACGCCGCGUGAGUGAUGAAGGUCUUCGGAUCGUAAAACUCUGUUAUUAGGGAAGAACAAACGUGUAAGUAACUGUGCACGUCUUGACGGUACCUAAUCAGAAAGCCACGGCUAACUACGUG